UACAGGAGGGGGCAAGCGUUGUUCGGAAUUAUUGGGCGUAAAGAGCUCGUAGGCGGUUUGUCGCGUCUGCCGUGAAAGUCCGGGGCUCAACUCCGGAUCUGCGGUGGGUACGGGCAGACUAGAGUGAUGUAGGGGAGACUGGAAUUCCUGGUGUAGCGGUGAAAUGCGCAGAUAUCAGGAGGAACACCGGUGGCGAAGGCGACUACCUGGCCUGUUCUUGACGCUGAGGCGCGAAAGCUAGGGGAGCAAACGGG
rnacentral:rRNA from 1 species